GAUGAACGCUAGCGGCAGGCUUAAUACAUGCAAGUCGAGGGGCAGCAUGGUGUAGCAAUACACUGAUGGCGACCGGCAAACGGGUGCGGAACACGUACAGAACCUUCCUUCGAGCGGGGAAUAGCCCAGAGAAAUUUGGAUUAAUACCCCAUAGUAUUAUGGAGUGGCAUCACUUUGUAAUUAAGAUUUAUCACUUGAAGAUGGCUGUGCGGCUGAUUAGGUAGUUGGCGGGUAACGGCCCACCAAGCCUGCGAUCAGUAACUGGUGUGAGAGCACGACCAGUCACACGGGCACUGAGACACGGGCCCGACUCCUACGGGAGGCAGCAGUAAGGAAUAUUGGUCAAUGGACGAAAGUCUGAACCAGCCAUGCCGCGUGGAGGAUGAAGGUCCUCUGGAUUGUAAACUUCUUUAUAUGGGACGAAAAAAGGCCUUUCUAGGUCGUCUGACGGUACCAUAUGAAUAAGCACCGGCUAACUCCGUGCCAGCA
rnacentral:rRNA from 1 species